CUAGGCCUCUGGACUGCUGCUUCCAUCCUCUUUUCAGCUCCUUGCUUCUGGGCUGGAAUCUCAUCUUCUAUUCCACUCUAGAGGUGGUCACCUUCACCAGCCCUCCAUGGCAGCGAGCUUCAGGGAGAGAGAACCAAGUGUGUGAAGGUGGCACGGCUGUUCCAGUGAGUUAUUGCUCCAUCACCGUCCUCUGAGUGAUGAUUGUGUGUGAAGCCUGACCCAUAAAUAGAGUUACAUUUCUGGGCCUGUCUAUGGAAAGAAAGAUUAUCUACAGCUAUAAAAAGGGCAGAGCUGGCUGAGCUACUAAUAAGGAUCAGUUAUUUGAGUUCUCACUUCCCAGCCUCGGAAAGCCACCCAGGUGAAUGCUGUAAGAACCAGUGUGUGAUCGUGGUCAUGUUCUGUCUUCCUCUCUUUCUACCACAAGAACAAGCAUUAAGAUGCAGGCUGCUCCAUCAUCCCUCCAAUCUGCCGUGGACAUGUGCCGUGCAUGCCAUGU